CACAAUGGACCUGCUUGAUGCU
rnacentral:miRNA from 1 species